AUUGGGAAGCCUUGUACCUCCAGGCAGUGGGAACCUGGGUUCUCGUUAUUGUUAUUCUCAGUGGACAUUUUAGCGAUCCUGACUCCUCUUGCAUAAACAUUGAGCGGGAACUUUGCAUUUAUAAUUCCAUUUGGAACCACUGCCCUUCAGAUUGCAAAGGGCUCUGUUAUCUCACUGAUGCUCACAAAGGCCCAGAGAGAGGCUAGGAGGUGCAGCUUUCCCCUCUAUUACAGGGGAGGGGACUGAAGCCCAGAGAGGGGAAAAGACUCAUCCAGGGUCACACAGAGUAAGUAAGCAUCACAGCCAGAACUAGAUCAAAGCCUCUUGUUACCUCUUAGCACCUCCCUUAUACAGGUUCACUGUCCAGCAUCAGAUCAGAAGCCCAGAGCAGCUGCUGCAGCCGUUGACCUCAGAUGAGAAGAGUAUUCCUUUAACUUGAAAAGGCAGAGUCGGGCACUAAUUCAUGAUGGAGUUAUAUUUCCACUUAAGUACUUGCAUUUAAAAAAUAGACUGGUGAGAUGAGAGCUUUCACUCCCAUGAUCCAGUUAUCUCUGUUAGGAGCCCACAUCUCCCAUUUGCCCAUUCUCUCCAAUCCUUCUAGCUCUUUCUAGCUCUUUCUACUUUCUCCUCCUAUAUACCUUUAGACCCGAUUCAUAUUUGUGUUCUUCCACGUGUCGCCAUUUUUACUUUCUGGUUUUAUAAUCUCUGCUGGCAACCUAUGGAUGGAAAUUGCAUUGAUCACAAUAUUCAAUACACAUCAGCCACCUACCAGGAUCUCUAAAACCUGGGAAUGGACUAUGAAAGGCAUUGUAACAUUAGUAGAAGGAACACAGGCAUUAGAAACGGAGUAGGAUAUGUUAUUUCCUAGCUGAGUAGCUUUAUUCAGUUACUUAGUGCAUUGAAGUCUGUUAUUACAUUUGUUAAUAGAAAUAAUACAUGUUUCUCAAAAGUUACUUUGAAAUAGUACAUGUGAUUUUGUUAACUAUAGCUUGCUAGGCAGAUUGUAAAAUACAAGUGACUACAAGAGGACUGUUCUUACAUCAGUGAUGAUAGUGGCAAAGGCAAAGAUUAUGAAUAAUCCAGUUCUACACAGCUGAGCUCCAUUUAAAACAAUUUUAAAGACUGCAGUGUUUUGGAAGUGUCAAUUCUUAGUUCUUAAUUUAUUCAUUCAAUAAAUUUUGUUGAGUACCUUCAAAAAAAUAAAAUAAAAAUAGACUGGAAGCAGCCCAAAUGUCCAUCAUUGCAGGUACUGAUCAAAUAAACUAUGGCCCUCCCUACAAUUUGUUACCACUCCAGUAAUCUACUGUGGGGUAGACCUAGUGGCUUAAAACAACAGCAGUCAUUUUAUUCUUUCUCAAGGUUAUGAGUUGACUGGGCUCAGCUAAGCAGGCCUCACUCAAAGUCUCUCAUGCAGGUAUAAUCAGACAGUGGCUGGAACUGGAGUCAUCUUGAAGACUUACUCUCAUGUCUACUGAUUGGUGCUGGUUGUAAGCUGGGACUCUCAGCAGACUUUUCUGUAUAUGCACACGUAAACAGGAACUUGCUAUA